GUGUCUCAGGCCAGAUUUGGACCUCAGGAAGGGGAGUUUUCCUGACUCCAAGCCCUGCACUGUGCACUAUGGUGCCCUCUAGCACCCCAUAAGUUCAUCAUCUGUCAGACCUGAUGUGACUCCUUUACGUCCCCUACUACAGUGGUCACCUAUUAACAUCUAGGGUUACAGACAAACUCUUUAAGGCUUUAAAACCCUUCACCACCUCAUUGGCCAUUACUGACCCUCCAGCACGUGGCAUGAUGAGAAGAAGAUACACUUCUAUGAUAAAAUGAAGGAUUGAGCAUUCUGAUUCCAGGGUAAGAAGCCAUUAUUCCUCCCGCCUUUCACUGGAAAGAUGCAGUCAGUCAGUCAACAUCCACAAGAACCCUGCUACAGUCUUUGGGAUGGCUCAAGUGACCAGAGGGCUCUGGAAAGUCAUCUCUGUGCCACAAACUGGGCCAGGUUUCACUCAAUUCAAAGGUUCUGAAUCUAGACCCAGUGAAGGACUUAACAGUGUGUGGAGGUGGCCUGUGGACCAGCCAAACAAAGUGCCAAGAUCGUACCACAAGAUAAGCUGCCCUCCCUCUGUAAGCAAGUAAGGGCCCAAAGGCCAUCAAUUGAGUUACGGUGUGACUGUAAGAUAAUCGGUAGAAGAAAGAUUAUGGAAUAGUACACGAAAAUUCCUCACUAUUCUUACAACAACAACAAUUAUUUAAAUAAUAAGGUGAGGAAGUUCCUUUUGAAUACCUGGGGAAUUGUAACUAUAAAUUAAAGUUAAGUGAUGCUUAUUAAGGCUUUCAGGAUAGGUGCUUUAAAAUGUAAAUAGUUUAGGGCAAAACAAUCUCAUCCAUCUGGGGCCUUCAACUCUUUAGAACAGGUGUGAGAACCCUAAAGACAGAGGGACCAGAGAGUCUGCUUACUUUACCCACAAUUGUAACAGGUUAGUUAUAUAGUUUUCUAUAGCUGCCAAGGAGGUUGGGGGAGGGGGAAAAGGGGAGAAGGAAAGCAAAUGACAGUAAGAAAAAGGUAUCGCUGACAAUGAAGAGCCUGGGAUGAUUGUGGGUCUGCAAAUAUCAUUAUAUUACAGCAUAGUAAUUGAUGUUCAUAAUGAUGACUACUACUCAUCAAGAAAAGGUUAAAUUACAUUUUGAAUACUCAGCUUUAGAAAGCAGAGAAGUGUGUAAUAGAUUUUAGCAAGGUUUCUAUCUAAAGUGGUUAAAACAAAAUAAAAAAAGCUAGUGCUUAAAGGACAGAGUGAGGGUUCAGUGAUCUGUAAAAUUAGCUUCUACUAUCCAAAUCUGAUACUACUUGGAUAAACAAGGCAUUAUACUGUACCUAAAAGAAUCAAUGUUUUACCAUUCAUAACAAAUCGUUGCUCUUCACUUUGGUUUCAGAAUAACAAAACUAAAAGCAAACUUGGUUACCUCCCUGCCCUACAGUGCUCAUUUAAAAUUUUUGCUUUGUUAGGUUAGGGAGGAAGCUCAACAUAUUCCAAACACUUAGGCACUCCUCUGCCCCAAGACAGAGACAAGAUCUGUUUCAUCUGUUCUGGAAAAGUUGACCAUAUAUGUGUUCUCAACACAGAAUAAGGUAAAGAUUGGUAUAGAAAAAAGGGUUUCGCAUUAUAUUUUAUUUAAAUUGCCUUAGAGAGCAAACACACAUCACUUCAUUCCAAAGUCAUGUAAAUGCUUUUUAGAUUA